GAGUCGUUGAUUUCACACUGCCGAGAAAAGCCUCUAGAUAGAAAAUAGGUGCCCGUACCGCAAACCGACACAGGUAGUCAAGAUGAGAAUUCUAAGGUGAGCGAGCGAACUCUCGUUAAGGAACUCGGCAAAAUGACCCCGUAACUUCGGGAGAAGGGGUGCUCUUUAGGGUUAACGCCCAGAAGAGCCGCAGUGAAUAGGCCCAAGCGACUGUUUAUCAAAAACACAGGUCUCUGCUAAACCGUAAGGUGAUGUAUAGGGGCUGACGCCUGCCCGGUGCUGGAAGGUUAAGAGGAGUGGUUAGCUUCUGCGAAGCUACGAAUCGAAGCCCCAGUAAACGGCGGCCGUAACUAUAACGGUCCUAAGGUAGCGAAAUUCCUUGUCGGGUAAGUUCCGACCCGCACGAAAGGCGUAACGAUUUGGGCACUGUCUCAACGAGAGACUCGGUGAAAUCAUAGUACCUGUGAAGAUGCAGGUUACCCGCGACAGGACGGAAAGACCCCGUGGAGCUUUACUGUAGCCUGAUAUUGAAAUUCGGCACAGCUUGUACAGGAUAGGUAGGAGCCUUUGAAACGU
rnacentral:rRNA from 1 species